CUGCUCACUUCAGUAGCACAUGUACUAAAACUGGAAUGACCCAGAGAGGAUUAGCAUGGCUCCUGAACAAAGAGAAAGCACAAAUUUGUGAAAGAUUCCAUAUGUUA
ensembl:snRNA U6 U6 spliceosomal RNA